rnacentral:rRNA from 1 species
GAUGAACGCUAGCGGCAGGCUUAACACAUGCAAGUCGAGGGGCAGCAUGAGACGGAGAUUCGUCAAAGUCUUGAUGGCGACCGGCGCAAGGGUGCGUAACGCGUGAGCAACUUGCCCGUUUCAGGGGGAUAACCGGUGGAAACGCCGACUAAUACCCCAUAGUAUUGAUUUAAGGCAUCUUUUAUCAAUUAAAGAAUUUCGGAAACGGAUAGGCUCGCGUGACAUUAGCUAGAUGGCGGGGUAACGGCCCACCAUGGCAACGAUGUCUAGGGGUUCUGAGAGGAAGGUCCCCCACACUGGAACUGAGACACGGUCCAGACUCCUACGGGAGGCAGCAGUGAGGAAUAUUGGUCAAUGGGCGAAAGCCUGAUGCAGCGACGCCGCGUGAGUGAAGAAGUAUUUCGGUAUGUAAAGCUCUAUCAGCAGGGAAGAAAAUGACGGUACCUGACUAAGAAGCCCCGGNUAACUACGUGCCAGCAGCCGCGGU